rnacentral:rRNA from 1 species
AUGGUUGCCAAGAUACGAACUGGUAGUGCAAUUGAUCUAGAGUGGAAGUUUGACCAAGGGCGUGCACGUAGAGCACUGGCAAAGUUGAUUGUGCUACAUGAAUUACCUUUCACUUUUGUUGAAUAUCCUGGCUUUAGGUCCUUUGUUAAGACGUUGAAUCCAUGGUUCAACGUGGUAUGCAGAGAAACAAUUAAACAAGAUUUCAUUAAUGCAUAUGAUAGACACAAAAAAGAAAAUCAAGCAUUUUUUAGCAAUUUAAGUUCUCGAGUAUCAUUAACGGGUGACAUGUGA